UACGGAGGAUUCGAGCGUUAUCCGGAUUUAUUGGGUUUAAAGGGAGCGUAGGCGGGUUGUUAAGUCAGUUGUGAAAGUUUGCGGCUCAACCGUAAAAUUGCAGUUGAUACUGGCAUCCUUGAGUACAGUAGAGGUAGGCGGAAUUCGUGGUGUAGCGGUGAAAUGCUUAGAUAUCACGAAGAACUCCGAUUGCGAAGGCAGCCUGCUGGACUGUAACUGACGCUGAUGCUCGAAGGCGUGGGGAGCAAACAGG
rnacentral:rRNA from 1 species